UUUGGGUGAUUGAAUCAUGUACUUUAAUUAUCUAUACAAAGAAGGCAAUAAUUUUUUCUUUCAAUAACGGUACUGCUGCCUCAUCUGCCUCUGUCAGUGUGCCUGCCUGUAAACAUGACCGGGAGCCAGCAUAAACUGACACUAAUAUUCCAUUAUUUAUGCUCUUAUUGGGCAGAACACUUUGCAGUGUGUAUUUUUAUAGCAGCAAACACCUUUAAAGUAAAAGAAAAGCACUGAAUGAUUUAUUAUUACCCAUGACCAAAACUGCAUUCCACAAAGCAUCUAACUUUUCCCAAUUGUAUCAAUGGUUUAUUACAUAGCUUCUCAUAAAAACGUCUUCAACUUUUUCCCCACAUACAAACACAGCAAAUUGGUACAUUUAUAAAUCUUCAAACGUUCAAAUUGAUACAAAAAGGAACACUGUGAUAGAACAACACACGACACGUUUUAUUAUUACAAGACCGCGUGUACUGUAAGGAUCUAAAUGAGUCUGUUGGAGUCGAACAUUUCUCAUUCCAUUGUGAAUCAUUACUACCAGAGACACAUUUACAACAAGAACUUUGGAUAUAAAUCCGAUUUAGGCACUGACUGGGUGAUCAUGAUCUAAACAACCCAACCAACCGACGGGCAAUGCUGAGAAAGCACAGCAAUUAACCAGUGGAUGACUUGUCCGUGUAAAAUGUAAAAUCCACAUUACAGACUGCUUUUCAUAGUUCAUUACAACCACCGAACGAGAAAAUUUACCAAACAUUCCUAGCGCUCCCUAAAAUAGUUAGUUUUAUUCACAAUCACAAAGACACUCCUUAUUUUUAUCUUCUUUUUUUCAGCUCGAUCUGAAUUUUAAAAAGUGAUUUAAAAAUGAUCCCGCACACAAACAAACCCACUCACACAUGCAAAUAAAUUAACAUGUAAAAAGUAAACAAUUUCAAGAAAAAUAAUUAUAUUUUUGGUUUUAAAAUGUGUAAUUAAAUGCAAAAAUAAAUUAGCAGCAUAAACCAUGGUACAUGAGUUGUUUACUAAUAAAUUCGGUGACACAAACAAGGCAGAAUAAAAGCUAAUGAAACAGAUGUUCCCGGGCUGAUCGUGCAGAGUGGAACACGAUGUUUUUCUAAACUGAAUAUUAAUGUGCACUUUCAGAAAUCACUAGGGGCCAACCGGGGUAUUGUGCGAUCAAAGAACCCCCGUGUCCUCGCAAGGAUGAACAACCCGAGCAGGUUCCUCAAUUCAACGCGUCUCCUCCUCCUGCUUCGUUUCAUCUCAGGGCCCUUUCGGCGUUGGAUUCUCCAACAACACAUGGAUGUUCAACCCCCUCCGAACCCCACCCGGUGCCAGGCGGACAUUUUUCCCUAGAGGGGCAUCGCUGCGUUUUUUUCCAACCCACCGCCGCCUCAUUUGGGUCCGGGGACGUGCGGCGCGCCCCCGGUGCUCCGGUGGGUGCGCAGCGGCAUCCUGUGCUCGGUGGCUUCCUCUGUGCGCCUCCGCUGCCGCUCCACCAGGAACUCUUUGAGUCGGGCGGAGGUGAAGGUGAGAGUCUGCCUCCUCAGCUUCAUCAGGUACGAGUCCUGCAACCAGGCUUGGGUGAAGCAGUCUCGCGUAGUAGGACGCGCCCUGGGGGAGGGGUAAUUUUUCAUUACACAAUGUAGAUAAUCAUAUUAUAUAUAUAUUUUGUUGACUCUCACCAUGGGUAACUGCUCAACGUCUUCUUGAGAAAGGCGGAGGCACUUUGGGACACAUUCUGGUAAAGUUUAGAGGGGUCAAACUUUGCCAUCAGGAUCUUGGAUUCCACUUGUAGGGGGUCCUUAUCUUCAAAGGGCAGUCGACCACUGAGCCUGAUCACAAUCACAGGAAACACUAAGUUGAGCAGGAUCAGUCCAUAAUGUGACAAAUUAAUUUGUUAAAUGUGGUGCCUACUUUACGUUAUGAUGUUGAGUUAGUGAUUAAAACACACAAUUCUCGACGCUGUGUUUUACUGUUAUUUGUUAGUCCUGUGAAAUCACAUUAAAUGAAUUCCAAAGAGACGUCUCACACGUACAUGAUGUAGGUGACAACGCCAACAGUCCAAAUAUCGGCAGGAGGACCAACCACUUCCCCUUUAACCAUCUCAGGAGCUUUAGAGGAGGAGAUUUAGAGAUGAUAAGAUUGCCGUUGUCAAAAUGUGUCUUUUUGCUUCGAUCGUUCUAGUCAGAGACGACCCUCACCCAUGUAGUCCAGCGUUCCCGCUGCCGAGUCCCGCGCUCUGAGCGCUUCCAAAGUCUACAAUCUUGACGGCGUUGAGGUUGGUCACCAUGAUGUUAUCGGGCUUGAGGUCCAGGUGGAGGACGCGCCGGUUGUGGAGGUACUCCACCCCCUGGAGGAUCUGGACCAGGUACGCCACCACGUCGUCCUCGGAGUAGCGGAACCUGUCCACAGCAAAUGGAGGUUACUCGCUGGUGAAUUUUCCUGCUGUGUGGUUCUGUCUGAGUUUGUGUCUGUGGGUGCGAGGGGACGCCCCCGCCCUCCUACCUGUCGAUGAGGCUGUGCAGCAGCUCUUUGCCGGUGCAGUACUCCGCCACCAGCACCAAGCAGUGCGGCGUGACGUAGGCCUCGUGUAGAGCCAUGACCUUUUCGCUGUGAAGGGAUUUCAAGAUCUCGUACUCCUUCAGGACGUCCUGCUUGUUCUCCUGGUUGUAGGGAAUUAUCUUCGCCAUGUAGAUUUUGCCUGUCGCGUUCUCGCGGCACUCUCUGACGACCCCAAAGCGACCCCUGGCAAAAAAACAAAUAAAAAAACACAAGAGAACGAGAGUUCUUUAUACACCCAGUCUGUGAGUCUAAAUGAGGGAUGUUUGUAGAGAUAUUUAUCAAACAUAUCAUGAGAUUUAGAUCUUUUAGUUUUAGAUUAUUUUUCAGUAUUAUGUAUGAUAUAAUGAGACUUUUAUCCCACCACUUCGAUUUAUGGUAAAAUUAUUUUAACUGAAGGCCCUGAAAGCCAAACAUUUGUCCUGCAUUUAAGUUAAAUUAAAAAUUUGUAAGUAACACGAAAACCCCUCAGGAUCAUUUCUGCAUGGUGGAAUGUCUGAAAGUGCAUAGCGGCCAUAAAGCAGAGCAUAAAAAGGAUUAAUCAACUCAGCUCAGUGCGCCUUCAUAGACUGGCAACAUCUUAUCUGGUGAGUAAAAGCUUCCCGCAGUGUCAAUAUAAAACAACCAAUAAUCCAGAAGAAGGAACCUACAAUGGCCUCCGUCAUUUUCAACAUUUGAAAAAGCCUAAAACACGCGCCUAACCACGGCCUUCCGCCUCACCUGGCUUUCUCCUCCAGGAAAGUGUACGGCUUCUGUGGAACCCCCUGGCGCAGAGCAGCGGAGGGCGUCGCGCGUCCUGAUGGGGUGCUUCUGGUGGGGGUGCUGACCCCGUCACCAAAGGGGCUCAUGCUGGAGGACUGGAGCACUGGUGGCGAGAAGGAGACGGGAGUCGGGGUCACACGGGCGGCGGGGGCGUAUGUGGGCACGGAGGCCACUGCUGGUUUGACUGGCGUUGUCGAUGGCGGCAAUGCUGUUGCAUUCUGGGUCAUAGGCGACACCACGUUGACUGGACUCUGGGGCUUGGGGAGGACGAAGGGUGGAGGUGCUUUGACUGGGGCUGAAGGGGGGUGAGAGGAACCGGUUUUCGGGCCGUCUUGGAGGGCCGCAGGCGGCAGUUGGGCGUCAGAAGGCAGAGAGGGUGGAGUUUUAAGGGGCGGAGGUAAAGCAGCAGAGGAGGCGGCGGUGGAGACGGACGCGCUGGGAGCAAUGCUCUGGACCGGCUUUACUGGAGGCACGGCCGCGGGUUCGGGCGGUGCCGGGACCGUCUUUACGACGGCCGUGGGGGGCGAAGCCACUGUGAGAUAAUGAAAUACAACCUUUAGUCACCGCCGUUACCCAGCAUGUUGUGAUGGAGGCUUCCCGUGUGUGAAGUACCUGUCGAGUCCAGGCUGACUGGAGCAGAGGAGCCGCUGUACGGCCCCUGACCGGCCUUGUUGUUGCAGGAGACUCUGAACCUGAAAGCGCCCCCUGCUGGCAGGUCGGUGACAUUGUAGUAGCAGUCCACAACUCCAGUGGCUACGGUCAGCCAGUUAGAAUCGCCUGCAGCACAGAGAGAGGAGGGAGAAGUGAUCUUCAUGGAUAAAGAACAGUGGUUUGAAUGAGGCAUCCUUUUUACAUAUUUAGGUAUUCAUAUUGGAUAUAAAUAUGUUUGAUUAAUGGAAUUACGAAGAGAAGAAAGACAAGUCUUAUGAGUAAAAUGUUGAACAGGUAAAAAGGAGAAAAUAAUCUUGUUUUGUUCUCUGGGAGGAGAAGGACUUCUGUUUGAUCACAUAUUGACCGCCAGAUGGCAGAGUUGUCAAAGUGGCUGACGUGAAAUCUCAUUUCUUACGUUUGCACGGUGAAAGAGAACCGAAAUAAAAUGUAAAUUAGAGCGCGCACAGGGCAGAUCCCGGGUAUUAAAACGUGUUACAAAGCCAAACCUCAUUGAAGCUUUUCAAACACUGCUACCACCAAAGUACUGUCAAUAAUACGGAAAAGGAAUGUAGUUUCAAAACCAGCGAAACCACCUUCAGACCAAUUCAUAGUAAUGCAUUUCACAACCUGCUCUGAGCUAAACUGAUGAAAGAAUAAAAAAGUGACGGGACUCACCUUCGGUUUUUCUUUCAAGGGUGUAGCUGCAUGGAGACUUGGUGUCUGCUGGCUUCCACAGCACCAGGGCGGUGUUGUUGUAAGUCUGAGGGACUUCAGGGGUUCCGGGCCGUUUCGGGACACCUUAGAAAGAGUGAAAAAGAACAAAUUAGAGACAUGAGUUACAUAGUACAUUGCAACGGAUAGAGCAAUCACUGGUUCACUAUAUUAAAAUGUCACGUUAAGAUAGCAAGGAAGAAAAGACAAGAUGUUAUUCAGGAUAUAAAAACCCGGUCCAUAUGAUGGUGUGGGAUUUGUAGUCACAACCAAACCAAGCCUGACACAAACAGCGUGGUUCCUUAAUUUGUGGAUGCAUUUCCCUUUCAGCCUGUGCACCGGCUGCACCGGUGGAGCCCAUACAUCAGGCGAGAUUAGCUGUCAGGUGUUUUUUUACGCGCAGCACAGAAUUAUCGGAGGGGAAAAAAAUGACCUCAGUGUUUGACAUUAGAAGGACUACGUGUCCCCGAGCACGACAAAUAAAGUUCCAGUGAAAAUCUGAGAAAUGUAUUCAGCAAUGGAACCUGAAAAGUCUCAUCCCAGUGGUCCUAAAUCCCCGGAAGCAUCAUAUGUUCCCAUUACAUGAAUACGAGAGAAAAAAAUCCAUUAAGCCAAUCUACAGUAAAAGUUAAUCUCUUGACAUUAAUAUUCAUUUCAACUGCUCCAAUAUUCAUUCUACUCUUCCUGCAAUUAAAGUUAAGCGGUGUAAAAUACAUCACAUCAUGCGGGUAAUCAGUGCAUGUCCAUGAAAGGCAAAGGAGCAGCUGUGCCUCUAGGAGACCCCGCUCUGCGUUAAUGAACCUUUCCCCAUCCAUCCGCUACAGCAACAACGUUUAGUUAGAUAACUACGGGCCGAAUGAGCCACUCACAGGCUAUGGUCAACGUGCAGGAGGUGGUGAUGGUAGCGAUGGGGUUGGUCGCUAUGCACUCAUAAACUCCGGCGUCCCUCCGGCUGGACUUCCUGAUCAUAAGAAGCUGCCUGCCGUCUGGAUGAGACAUCAGGUCGAUCCGCUCGUCCAACUCCAGCGGCUUACGGUCUGCAACGCACAGCAAAUACAGGGAGCUGAGCGGCGCUUCGUUGAUAAAACCACCAGGCGAAAGGCCGAAGCGGCGUACCCAUGGUCCACGUGAUGUCUGGGUGUGGACUCCCGGCGGGGAGGCAGCUGAGAGUGACCGGCUCCCCCUCCAGCAGGACGUGGUCUCUCAGCUUGAUGUGGAACACGGGGGCGAAAUCCGAAGGCGAGCGGAUGAACUGCUGGCUUGUGGAGAGACCCUCCUCUUUGGGGACGGACGCAGGCAGGUCAGACCGAGACGGGGUUUUGUCCCUCUUGCCCCUCGUCAAGCCCCACCUGUCCCACCGGGAACGCCUGUCGGACUCUGAGGCUUUUCCGGAUUGGGCACUGCAAGCGGAUUCGAUGGAUUCCUUGGACGCGGCGCCGCCGCCGCUCUGUUUGGCCAGCUGGUUCUCGGGGAUGCCCAUCCCUUUGAGCCCCAGCCCCUCGGACUGGGAAUGGCGGUGGCGGGUAAACAGAGGCGUCCUCGUUCCCUCCUCACCCUCCUUUCUCUCCUCGGACUGACUGCGGAUCUUCGAGGUAAUCCCCGCCACUUUCUUCUCAAACUUGUGCCGCAUCGCCAGCACCGGGGAAUCUGUGACUUUCAUCAACUCCUUCUUCACCAGCUCCGUCUGACUCCCCCCGGCGCCUCGGCCCUUCCUGUCCUCUGACUGCGUCCUCAUUUUGGCAGAGAUUCCUGCCACUUUGGACUCAAACUUCCGCCUCAUUGCAGAAACCGAUGACUCGUCAGCUUUUCUUUGUUCCCUCUCAUCCCAGCUGCCUCUGCUCCGCUGCGCUGCUCAGCUCCUUUGUAUCCAGGGACUUACUGCGCCCGAUGGCCCAUGAAACCCUUUUGUUCACAGCGGUUUCCUGCACCUCCUGGGGCGUUUCCUCCUUCGCUUUCUCCCCCUUCUUAUCACUGGAUGUGGACCUCUUGGCCCGCAAGGAAAACCUCCCGAUCAGACUGAGGCCGGUCUCUCUCUCUUCUUCCCUUAAAUCUUGGACAGACUUGGAUUUCGCCAGUAGUCCUUUGGGAAGCAUCUCGAGGGGCGCCCCCCUCGGCCCCGGCCUGUACACCUCCUCCCCGCCCUCGCCCGCCUUCCGGCUCAGCGCAGGGGAUUUCUCCUCCGAUUUGUUUCUGGUCAGUAUGCGGAGGCCGCGGGUCAAAGACGACUCCCGCUUCUUGAACCUGGCUUGGAAGACCUCCUCUGAGUCGAUGUCUUUGAUGUCCGUUCUGAGCACGGGCUGGCGGGCGGGGCCAGCGAGGUCGGGGUUUGAAGACGUGGAAGCAGAGGAAGGAGGCCGAUCGGCGGUCGCCACUUUGGCAAACACUGCUGGGUGUUCGGGCAGCGGGGGGGUUUCUGUGGACCGGGUGUCAUCCGUUGUGGUGGAAACGGCUUGAAGGACACUUGCGUAAGCAGAGGAGGGUUUACUAGUGUGCGCUUUCUCUUCAUUCAUGUCCUUUUCAUUUACAUGCAACUCUUGAUUUUCUUUCUUCUCUUCUUCCGCAUCAUCCUCCUCCUCUAUUACAAUUAUAGGAGUAAUAACAGAGGGGGAUGUGGAGUCACAUUCUUCUCCAUCUGGCUUCUCUAACUGGGCGCUGGUCUUUUUCUGUGUUAUAACGUCCGUGUUCUUCUCAUUCAUGCUUUGCAUUUCACGUUCUUUCACAUUGUUCUGUUUUUGAUGUUGGUCCAACCUCGCUGGCGCUGGGAGUACAAAGGAAGUCUUCUUUGAAGGAGAGACGGACUCGGGUGCUUGUUCCGUGAUGGCGGACAUCGAGCUCUCCUUCUGGAGCUUUUCCCCUUCUGCGUCGCCAUUGCGCCCCGAAGGGAUCUCUAAGGGGGCUCCGAACCUGCGGUGUAGGGGCAUGGGCUCGGAAUCCCCCUGAGUGAACGAGGCGCUUUUACAAAAAACUCUGGUCGUCGGCGUGUCCUUCACGGUGCUCUCCGAAGACGCCGCUCUGGCGAGCGUCGGCGGCGCCGCUCUGGAUCUCCUCAGGUUCCGAUCGAGGGACGCGGUCCGCCUCUCGUCGUCCAUGCCGAGUGUCUCAAACAGGGGCCCUCGCAGGCCGCUCAUCUUUUUGUCUAUGUUUCCUCCCCUGAGCAGCCGCUGUCUCAUCAGCUCCAGUUUGAGGGCGUAAUCCUCCUGGCUCAACUUGGCCGCCCCGGGACUCGGGCUGCGAUUGGGUAGCUCCAUGGAAACAGCCUUCUUCAGGCUCCUGGAAAGGUCUUGUGGAUCCUUGUUUGCGGUUCCCUCCUCUGGGUUGAUGAGCAGAAGCAGCGCUGAAUCAGCAGAGCUGCCUCUUCUCAUCGUCGACCUCCUGGAUUUCGGCUGCGUUCCGUCUACCUCCACACUUGUUCCUUUUUCAAGAGGAACCAGUUUUGUCUUUUCCAUUUCCUCCUCAACUGGGGUUUCCUCUUCAUUCUUCAGAGCUUCAUCAGCCCUUCCUCUCUUACCUGCCGUCCCCACCGUGUCCUUUUUCCUCGUCCCCUCAGCAGCAACACUUGUCCAUGCAGCGACGUCUUCUUCCCCCGGGAUCUCGUUAAGGGAGACCCUGGAACCGGAAAAGGCCAUGGACAGCGGCAUGGGAAUGAAGGGCAGUUCAUCUACAUCCGCGUCGGAGUCAGAGGAAGAGGAGGGGGGUGGGGAGCCUUCUUUUAAAUGCCGGGCCACAGCGAUGGAGACGUGGUUGGACGACUCAUUCAAAAGCUCUGGGAUCGACCGCAUGACCAUCUUUGAUUUGUAGCUGAUUAGGGAACGCUGGAAAAAGUACAGAAAAAGGGAGGACAAGGUGAGUUUGUUUCAUUCACUACUUUAUCUCCA
ensembl:lncRNA